ACAGCAGCAGCCACGGGAAUACGUAGGGUGCAAGCGUUAAUCGGAAUUACUGGGCGUAAAGCGUGCGCAGGCGGUUCGCUAAGACAGAUGUGAAAUCCCCGGGCUUAACCUGGGAACUGCAUUUGUGACUGGCGGGCUAGAGUAUGGCAGAGGGGGGUAGAAUUCCACGUGUAGCAGUGAAAUGCGUAGAGAUGUGGAGGAAUACCGAUGGCGAAGGCAGCCCCCUGGGCCAAUACUGACGCUCAUGCACGAAAGCGUGGGGAGCAAACAGGAUUAGAUACCCGAGUAGUCCCUGUCUCUUAUAC
rnacentral:rRNA from 1 species